rnacentral:rRNA from 1 species
GUGUCAGCCGCCGCGGUAAUACGUAGGUGGCAAGCGUUGUCCGGAUUUACUGGGCGUAAAGAGCGCGCAGGCGGUCAUUCAAGUCGAGUGUGAAAGCCCCCGGCUCAACUGGGGAGGGUCACUCGAUACUGUUUGACUCGAAGGCGGGAGAGGGAAGUGGAAUUCCCGGUGUAGUGGUGAAAUGCGUAGAUAUCGGGAGGAACACCAGUGGCGAAGGCGACUUCCUGGCCCGUUCUUGACGCUGAGGCGCGAAAGCUAGGGGAGCAAACGGGAUUAGAAACCCUCGUAGUCC